rnacentral:rRNA from 1 species
CUUACACAUGCAAGUCGAACGAGACCUUCGGGUCUAGUGGCGCACGGGUGCGUAACGCGUGGGAAUCUGCCCUUAGGUACGGAAUAACUCAGAGAAAUUUGUGCUAAUACCGUAUGAUGUCGAAAGACCAAAGAUUUAUCGCCUAAGGAUGAGCCCGCGUAAGAUUAGCUUGUUGGUGAGGUAAAAGCUCACCAAGGCGACGAUCUUUAGCUGGUCUGAGAGGAUGAUCAGCCACACUGGGACUGAGACACGGCCCAGACUCCUACGGGAGGCAGCAGUGGGGAAUAUUGGACAAUGGGCGAAAGCCUGAUCCAGCAAUGCCGCGUGAGUGAUGAAGGCCUUAGGGUUGUAAAGCUCUUUUACCAGGGAUGAUAAUGACAGUACCUGGAGAAUAAGCUCCGGCUAACUCCGUGCCAGCAGCCGCGGUAAUACGGAGGGAGCUAGCGUUGUUCGGAAUUACUGGGCGUAAAGAGUACGUAGGCGGUUAUUCAAGUCAGAGGUGAAAGCCUGGAGCUCAACUCCAGAACUGCCUUUGAAACUAGAUAGCUAGAAUCUUGGAGAGGUGAGUGGAAUUCCGAGUGUAGAGGUGAAAUUCGUAGAUAUUCGGAAGAACACCAGUGGCGAAGGCGACUCACUGGACAAGUAUUGACGCUGAGGUACGAAAGCAUGGGGAGCAAACAGGAUUAGAUACCCUGGUAGUCCACGCCGUAAACGAUGAUAACUAGCUGUUCGGGCUCUACGAGCUUGAGUGGCGCAGCUAACGCAUUAAGUUAUCCGCCUGGGGAGUACGGUCGCAAGAUUAAAACUCAAAGGAAUUGACGGGGGCCUGCACAAGCGGUGGAGCAUGUGGUUUAAUUCGAAGCAACGCGCAGAACCUUACCAGCGUUUGACAUCCUAAUCGCGGUUU